GUGUAUAUAUUAUAAUAUGAUUAUAUUUGAUUUGCAUUCAUAAGAUGUUUGUACACU
rnacentral:tRNA from 1 species